UAAUACCUGGUGUAAAGGCACAUUUCAUUUUGAUUGAAAAAGAAGUAGUGUAAAUCUACUGUUAUUAA
rnacentral:tRNA from 1 species